CUUCUCUUGAGAAGUUUCCUGAGUGGGUCACCAGCUCCGUGCCUUCCCCACUCAGGACCAUUUGCCCCCUAGGGUCGUGAUUUCUCACCGAUCUUUUCCUUAAGAAAAAAAAAAGAUAAAUACUUUUCAACAUCUUCCAAUGUUAUGGGCUGUCCGUCCCCGUUUUGUCCUUUUGCGAUGUAUUCGCAGUAAUUUGCAACUUUUGAAAGCCACUCAUUGUUUCUCUGAACUUAUUGAAAUGCACAGAUAUGUUAAAUAGGAAAAAAAACAACAACAACAACAACAAAAAAACACCCAAUGACUUCUGUUUCACUGCAUAUGCAAAGGGAGUGCGGCUUGACUCUUCCCUCGGCAUUCGUUAGUCACAUCCUGUUGUCCAUUGUUUUGCUGUUUGUGGUGCGAAUCCAAUUUAUUUAAUGGUAAAGAGCCAGAUUUUGCUUUUUUUUUUUUUUUUUUUUUCCAGCGAUGGUGAGAUGAUCUGAGAAAGCACACUGGAAACAGCAAUAGCAGAGAUGCCGAUGUGCAGCCACCGCGUAUUGCUGCACGAGCCGCUCAUAAGGGACGAGGCUCUCCAGACAGCUAGACAGUGCCGUGUGAGGAAUUCAGCAGGCGUCCGUCCGUCCGUCCGUCGGGCAGCCGCUCUGUCCGUCCCUCUCCUGGGUGCCAGCUCCGAGCAGGCAGAGGCGUAGCGCGAAGGUUUCUCUUCAUCUUCAUCCCGCCGGUGGCUGCGCUGCUUCUGGGAAGGUUCGCCUCCGGAACGACGUCGUGGUGAAUUUUACACAGCUACCGUCAGCCAGAUCACUGCAGCCAGGUUUUGAUAUCUCCAAAAUUGUUUGCCCCUGAGAGGGGAAGUUAGCACCAGCACGUGCUGCUCUUUAAUGCGAUUUCACCGUAAUGGGGUCCCGUGCAAAGGGAAGGCUUUUAUUUCAUGUUCUCCUCUCCCAAGUUCACUUCUUGCAGCCUUGCUGAAAUCUUCAGAAACAUCACCCAUCACAUCUCAGCGUUAAAUGUAAAAGGAACAUUUAAUGAGGUCUGAUUUUUUUCAUGUGGCUAGAGUAACCCUGGGUUAAUUUGCAUAUAAAAUUUAUGUGAAAUGGGAAGCAUUCCCCAUAAGAAAAACAUUUAUGUGCUUUGCUUUAGCUAUGCUAAUUGUGUUUUUACUCCUUUCAUCCAACAGUCUCAAAGUAUUUACAAUUCCUCCUAGAGCUGCAUAACACCACAAGGCAGGCAGGCAUUUCAUCCCCGUUUGUAAGUCAAAAAACUGCAAGUCGCAGGCAGGCUGCAGUUUGCCCAAGGACUGCAAAACAGUGGCAAGCCAAGGAUGGCAAAAGGAGUGAGUCCCUUUCGUAGCUGGUGCUCAAGCCACCGCAUCGGAUUUGUUGAGGUGACACACAGGGAAAGCACAAAACAAAUUCUUCCUGGGCAUUGAUGCGAUCGGUAGCAGUGCUGCAUUCAGGAAGCUCAUUUUUACCUGCCGCCAGUGCCGUGAAAUUGGGGUAGAUAUUGAGUGAAACUGAGUGAUGCCGCAAGGUGUGCAGGAAGGUGUUUGUGGGGUGGGAGGCAGGAGCACGUGGAUGAAAGGACAGCGCCUCCGGUGCCCAAACCUGCCUCCCGCAUGCCUUCAGCAUCCCUCAGACGUGUGGGAGCCCCUGGGAGCUU
rnacentral:lncRNA from 1 species